UGGGGAAUAUUGGACAAUGGGCGCAAGCCUGAUCCAGCCAUGCCGCGUGGAUGAUGAAGGCCUUAGGGUUGUAAAGUCCUUUUAACGGGGAAGAUAAUGACGGUACCCGUAGAAUAAGCCCCGGCUAACUUCGUGCCAGCAGCCGCGGUAAUACGAAGGGGGCUAGCGUUGCUCGGAAUUACUGGGCGUAAAGCGCACGUAGGCGGCUCUUUAAGUCGGGGGUGAAAUCCUGGAGCUCAACUCCAGAACUGCCUUCGAUACUGAAGAGCUCGAGUCCGGGAGAGGUGAGUGGAACUGCGAGUGUAGAGGUGAAAUUCGUAGAUAUUCGCAAGAACACCAGUGGCGAAGGCGGCUCACUGGCCCGGUACUGACGCUGAGGUGCGAAAGCGUGGGGAGCAAACAGGAUUAGAUACCCCCGUAGUCC
rnacentral:rRNA from 1 species